CCCGACUGCUAUUUGGGUGAGGAUAAGCCAUGCGAGUCGAAUGGGAUACCUAAAUUUCCCAUGGCGAACUGCUCAGUAACACAUGAUCAACUUAACCUAUUGAGAAAGAUAACCUCGGGAAACUGAGGAUAAUAUUUCAUAGUUGAAUUGGCUUGGAAAAGUUUUUCAACAAAAGGGAUAGGGAAAAUGGUCUCUAUCCGCUAUAGGAUAGGAUCGUGUUCGAUUAUGGUAGUUGGUGAGGUAACGGCUCACCAAGCCGAUAAUCGAUAGGGGCCGUGAGAGCGGGAGCCCCGAGAUGGGUACUGAGACAACGACCCAGGCCUUACGAGGCGCAGCAGGUACGAUACCUCCACAAUACACGAAAGUGUGAUGGGGUUACCCAAAGUGUUCAUUAUUGAACUGUGGUAGGAGAGUAAUGUCCCUACUAGAAAGGAGAGGGCAAGGCUGGUGCCAGCCGCCGCGGUAAAACCAGCUCUUCAAGUGGUCGGGAUAAUAUUGGGCUCAAAGUGUCCGUAGCCGGUUUAGUAAGUUCCUGGUAAAAUCGGGUAGCUUAACUAUCUGUAUGCUAGGAAUACUGCUAUACUAGAGGGCGGGAGAGGUCUGAGGUACUACAGGGGUAGGGGUGAAAUCUUAUAAUCCUUGUAGGACCACCAGUGGCGAAGGCGUCAGACUGGAACGCGCCUGACGGUGAGGGACGAAAGCCAGGGGAGCGAACCGGAUUAGAUACCCGGGUAGUCCUGGCCGUAAACGAUGCAUACUAGGUGAUGGUAUGGCUAUGAGCCAUAUCAGUGCCGUAGGGAAACCGUUAAGUGUGCCGCCUGGGAAGUACGGUCGCAAGGCUAAAACUUAAAGGAAUUGGCGGGGGAGCACCACAAGGGGUGAAGCCUGCGGUUCA
rnacentral:rRNA from 1 species